AUCAUCGAAUCUUUGAACGCACCUUGCGCUCCUUGGUAUUCCGAGGAGCAUGCCUGUUUGAGUGUCAUUAAUAUAUCAACCUCUUUAGCUUUUGCUUGUCGAGUGUUGGAUGUGGGGGUUUUUUGCUGGCCUCUCUUCUGAGGUCAGCUCCCUUGAAAUACAUUAGCGGAACAAUUUGUUGACCGUUCAUUGGUGUGAUAACUAUCUACGCUAUUGACGUGAUACAGUUCAGCUUCUAAUAGUCCAUUGACUUGGACAAUUUUAUUAUUAUUAAUGUGACCUCAAAUCAGGUAGGACUACCCGCUGAACUUAAGCAUAUCAAUAAGCGGAGG
rnacentral:rRNA from 2 species